rnacentral:sRNA from 1 species
UGCUGGGAUUACAGGCUUGAGCCACCGCACCCGGCCCGAUACUGUGUCUCUUAAAAAUAAAUAAAUACACAGAUAAAUAAACAAGGUGCUGUCAGAGUAACAGUUUCAGUCCUGAAAAUAAAACGAGGUCAUAGGAUAGAAGGAUAACCUGGGGUGGGGGAGUUAGGGGAGCUGGUGUGUGAUGACUUUAGAUUGGGAGGUCAGGGAAGGCCUCCCUCAGCUAAGACUUGAAUGGUGAGAAGGAGGAGAGAAGUAGGAAAAGAACAUUCCAAGCCGACCAAACAAGUGCAAAGGCCUUGAGGUGGGAAUGAGUGUCCUGUGUUUAGAGAGUGGAAAAGGAGCCCCGGUGGCUGUAAGCAGGGAGCCCACAGGGAGGCUGGCAGGGGCAGGGGCACGGAGGUGCUUGUCAGCUGAGUGAAGGGACAGGGUUCGUUGCAGCACAGUAGGAAGCCACUGGAGAGGGUUAGGCAUGGAGCGAUGAUCUAGGGGUGGGCAGAGUAGGAAGGAGCAGGCUGGGCAAGGCAGGAAGGUCCGGGCUCUGUGAGAGACAGUGGGACAGACGACUGGGGGUGCUCAGUUUCCAGAACCUGGGAAUCCAGUGUGUGAAGAAGCGGGACCUGGAGCAGGCUAUCAGUCAGCGCAUCCAGACCAACAACAACCCCUUCCAAGUUCCUAUAGAAGAGCAGCGUGGGGACUACGACCUGAAUGCUGUGCGGCUCUGCUUCCAGGUGACAGUGCGGGAACCAUCAGGCAGGCCCCUCCGCCUGCCGCCUGUCCUUUCUCAUCCCAUCUUUGACAAUCGUGCCCCCAACACUGCCGAGCUCAAGAUCUGCCGAGUGAACCGAAACUCUGGCAGCUGCCUCGGUGGGGAUGAGAUCUUCCUACUGUGUGACAAGGUGCAGAAAGGUAUACAUCAGGAGGCAGGGGUGGGCUCUUGGGAGCAAGGGGUGAAGCUGAGCAGAGAAGUGGAGUGUCAGGUAACUGGCUUUGAAUACUUCCUCCUGUGCCUCGGGGGCCUCAGG